GGCUGUAGCUCAGUGGCAGAGUGCUUGCCUAGCAGGUGUGAGGCACUGAGUUCGAUCCUCAGCACCA
rnacentral:tRNA from 1 species